UAGAUCGUAGUCCUUUGUGACCAAAGGAAGCAUGGCUUUUCUGCCCAAAACCAGUUCCACAGAGUCUUCUAUCCUGGAGAUAAUUGUGAAGUAAUCCAAUUAUCUCCAAGGACAGAGGCAAAACUCCAUUGAACACAUGGCAGCAAAAGACAAUAAAACACAUAAAAACAUAUAACUGUGCAGCCAUUGCACAAAACAGGUACAUUCAACAUAUCCC